GCUAGGACUAGAUUUGUGAUUUCUUAGUAAUUGUGGUGGUAAUAUCGAUACUAGUAUUAAUUCUUUCUUUAAUUUUUGUGUAGUAGUUGGAAGAGCCAUUGUGAUUGGAUAGAGCUAUUAUAGUUGCAAUGGUAGAUCAUAUGAGUUAAAUUUUGUCUUCAAAUAAGGUUUAAAAGUAGUAGGUUGGAUCAAGGCUAGACUUAAGUUAAGAGGUUGUUGCUGUUAUUGAGCACAAAAAUUCUUCUAUAAGUCAAAAAAAGACUUAAAAUUGUACAUGAGCUAACAAAAAUUCUUGGAUUUUAUAAUUGACAUCUAUAAAGUCAAUGUAUUCUUCUAUGUUCAUCUUUGGAUCUUUUUUGACUUUAGUUACAGUCCUUGUUGAAAAGAGUAAUACCGUGGUAGUUGUUUGGAUUUAUAUUUUGAUGAGGGUGAUAGUAUUAUCUAUAUUAAAGAUAAAAAAGAUCUUAUAUAGUUACAAUUAUAUAGAAUUAAAUCAUAAU
rnacentral:lncRNA from 1 species